rnacentral:rRNA from 1 species
GACGAACCGAGCGAACGUUGUUCGGAAUAACUGGGCUUAAAGGGCGCGUAGGCGGGCCGCCAAGUUCGAGGUGAAAUCCUCCGGCUCAACCGGGAGAACUGCCUCGAAUACUGGAGGCCUCGAGGCGGGUAGGGGCGUGCGGAACUGUGGGUGGAGCGGUGAAAUGCGUUGAUAUCCACAGGAACUCCGGUGGCGAAGGCGGCACGCUGGACCCGAUCUGACGCUGAGGCGCGAAAGCCAGGGGAGCAAACGGG